rnacentral:rRNA from 1 species
GACGAACGCUGGCGGCGUGCUUAACACAUGCAAGUCGAACGAAGUGGCGAACGGGUGAGUAACGCGUAAUCAACCUGCCCUUCAGGGGGGGACAACAGUUGGAAACGACUGCUAAUACCUCAUACUGAAGGAGGGGAUUGCGUCUGCUUAGCUAGUUGGAGGGGUAACGGCCCACCAAGGCGAUGAUAAGUAGGCGGUCUGAGCGGGUGAACCGCCACAUUGGGAAUGAGACACGGGCCAGACUGCUACGGGAGGCAGCAGGGGGGAAUCUUCCGACAUGGAGGAAAGUCUGACGGAGCAACGCCGCGUGAGUGAUGACAGCCUUCGGGUUGUAAAGCUCUGUUAAGCGGGAAGCGGUACCGGAAUAGAAAGCCACGGCUAACUACGUGCCAGCAGCCGCGGUAAUUC